UACGGAGGAUCCAAGCGUUAUCCGGAUUCACUGGGUUUAAAGGGUGCGUAGGUGGAAUGACAAGUCAGUGGUGAAAACCUGCAGCUUAACUGUAGAACUGCCAUUGAUACUGUUAUUCUUGAGUACAUUUGAUGUGAGUGGAAUGUGUCGUGUAGCGGUGAAAUGCUUAGAUAUGACACAGAACACCAAUUGCGAAGGCAGCUCACAAAACUGUAACU
rnacentral:rRNA from 1 species